rnacentral:tRNA from 2 species
AGGGUUUUAAGUUAAAGAAACUAGAAGCCUUCAAAGCUACCAAUAAGAGUUAAAUCUCUUAAACCCUA